GUAUUCCACAAGGGGAGCCUAUGGCUGAGAGUGAACGAUCGAGUUCUGACCCUUCGAACCUGUUAGUUAGCACUAGCGUAGGAAUGUGGCUGAAUGAAUGU
rnacentral:ncRNA from 2 species